CCCCCAAAAUCCGGUGGCCACUGCCCACAGAACAGGUUAGGAUUCUUUGAUUUGUUUUUUUACUGAUGUGUUGUUUUUUGGUGACCACCAGCCACCACCGGAAGACCACCUUUGAAGCCAACCCGGAGAAAUCCCGCUGCCACUGCCAUAUAACAGUCAUCUACUAAAGCAAGGUUGGUGUAAGAGUUGAUGACGAGAACAUUGUUCCAAGACCUUCAGUGAGUUAUGAUGAUGUCCUUUAAUAGCAAUGUAGUAUUAGGUUAUAUAGUUAGCAAUGAUUAUUUGUAUUUGACAUUUUAGUGCAAUGAAUUAUCUUUCUUA